AAUCUUCAAUCUACAAACUUCUUAUGGGGUUUGUAGGCUUGGACUUGGAGGCUUGUCGGUCCCUUUACAGGUCGGCUCCUCUUAAAUGCAUUAGCUUGGUUCCUUGCGGAUCGGCUUGUCGGUGUGAUAAUGUCUACGCCGCGACCGUGAAGCGUGUUUGGGCGAGCUUCUAACCGUCUCGUUACAGAGACAACUUUUAUGACCUCUGACCUCAAAUCAGGUAGG
rnacentral:rRNA from 1 species